rnacentral:rRNA from 1 species
GAUGAACGCUGGCGGCGUGCCUAAUACAUGCCAGUCGAGCGAACAGACGAGGAGCUUGCUCCUCUGACGUUAGCGGCGGACGGGUGAGUAACACGUGGAUAACCUACCUAUAAGACUGGGAUAACUUCGGGAAACCGGAGCUAAUACCGGAUAAUAUAUUGAACCGCAUGGUUCAAUAGUGAAAGACGGUUUUGCUGUCACUUAUAGAUGGAUCCGCGCCACAUUAGCUAGUUGGUAAGGUAACGGCUUACCAAGGCAACGAUGCGUAGCCGACCUGAGAGGGUGAUCGGCCACACUGGAACUGAGACACGGUCCAGACUCCUACGGGAGGCAGCAGUAGGGAAUCUUCCGCAAUGGGCGAAAGCCUGACGGAGCAACGCCGCGUGAGUGAUGAAGGUCUUCGGAUCGUAAAACUCUGUUAUUAGGGAAGAACAAAUGUGUAAGUAACUAUGCACGUCUUGACGGUACCUAAUCAGAAAGCCACGGCUAACUACGUG